GAUGAACGCUGGCGGCGUGCCUAAUACAUGCAAGUCGAGCGAAUGGAUUGAGAGCUUGCUCUUAUGAAGUUAGCGGCGGACGGGUGAGUAACACGUGGGUAACCUGCCCAUAAGACUGGGAUAACUCCGGGAAACCGGGGCUAAUACCGGAUAACAUUUUGAACCGCAUGGUUCGAAAUUGAAAGGCGGCUUCGGCUGUCACUUAUGGAUGGAACCGCGUCGCAUUAGCCAGUUGGUGAGGUAACGGCUCACCAAGGCAACGAUGCGUAGCCGACCUGAGAGGGUGAUCGGCCACACUGGAACUGAGACACGGCCCAGACUCCUACGGGAGGCAGCAGUAGGGAAUCUUCCGCAAUGGACGAAAGUCUGACGGAGCAACGCCGCGUGAGUGAUGAAGGCUUUCGGGUCGUAAAACUCUGUUGUUAGGGAAGAACAAGUGCUAGUUGAAUAAGCUGGCACCUUGACGGUACCUAACCAGAAAGCCACGGCUAACUACGUGCCAGCAGCCGCAGUAA
rnacentral:rRNA from 1 species